GUCCCAGUGGCACAAGGGGUCAGUGUGUCUGUUAACCAGAAGGUUGGUGGUUCAAGCCCACCCAGGUAUG